AAAGUCCUUUCGACGGGGACGAUGAUGACGGUACCCGUAGAAGAAGCCCCGGCUAACUUCGUGCCAGCAGCCGCGGUAAUACGAAGGGGGCUAGCGUUGCUCGGAAUGACUGGGCGUAAAGGGCGCGUAGGCGGUUUGAUUAGUUAGGCGUGAAAUUCCCGGGCUCAACCUGGGAACUGCGUUUAAUACAGUCAGACUUGAGUUCGGAAGAGGGUCGUGGAAUUCCCAGUGUAGAGGUGAAAUUCGUAGAUAUUGGGAAGAACACCGGUGGCGAAGGCGGCGACCUGGUCCGAUACUGACGCUGAGGCGCGAAAGCGUGGGGAGCAAA
rnacentral:rRNA from 1 species